UAGCUUCGAAGAGAGAACCGGGUGUAGG
rnacentral:sRNA from 1 species